GAUGAACGCUGGCGGCGUGCCUAAUACAUGCAAGUCGAACGCAUAGCGAAAGGUUCUUGCCCCUUUCAAGUGAGUGGCGAACGGGUGAGUAACACGUGGAAAACCUGCCUCAAGGCUGGGGCUACCAUUUGGAAACAGAUGCUAAUACCGAAUAAAACUUAGUGUCGCAUGACACAAAGUUAAAAGGCGCUUCGACGUCACCUAGAGAUGGAUCCGCGGUGCAUUAGUUAGUUGGUGGGGUAAAGGCCUACCAAGACAAUGAUGCAUAGCCGAGUUGAGAGACUGAUCGGCCACAUUGGGACUGAGACACGGCCCAAACUCCUACGGGAGGCUGCAGUAGGGAAUCUUCCACAAUGGGCGAAAGCCUGAUGGAGCAACGCCGCGUGUGUGAUGAAGGCCUUCGGGUCGUAAAGCACUGUUGUAUGGGAAGAACAGCUAGAAUAGGAAAUGAUUUUAGUUUGACGGUACCAUACCAGAAAGGGACGGCUAAAUACGUG
rnacentral:rRNA from 1 species